UACGGGGGGAGCAAGCGUUGUUCGGAUUUACUGGGCGUAAAGGGCGCGUAGGCGGCCACCGCAAGUCGACUGUGAAAUCUCCGGGCUUAACUCGGAAAGGUCAGCCGAUACUGCGGGGCUAGAGUGCAGAAGGGGCAACUGGAAUUCUCGGUGUAGCGGUGAAAUGCGUAGAUAUCGAGAGGAACACCUGCGGCGAAGGCGGGUUGCUAGGCUGACACUGACGCUGAAGCGCGAAAGCUAGGGGAGCGAACGGG
rnacentral:rRNA from 1 species